rnacentral:tRNA from 1 species
GAUAAGAUGGCUGAGGUUUAAGCGGUAGAUUGUAAAUCUACAAACAAGUAAAUACUUUUUUAUU